CCUGCUCCGGCUCGGCCUUGGGCCCGUCCCGCGAAGGCGGCGGUGGCGGCGGAGGCGGGGGCGGAGGC
rnacentral:miRNA from 1 species